CGGGGGAGGCCGGAUCUUGGGCUGUGUCCCCGCGCCCUGCGCUCCUGGUCUGCGCUGUUGGAUUUGCUCUCUGGGCCGCGCAGCCCCCU
rnacentral:pre_miRNA from 1 species